GGUGCUGCAGCAUGGGCGGAGCGCAGGGACUGCUCCAGAGAAACCAGAAAACAUCUGAUGGACGAGUCCCUUCAAGUGCUCCUAGAUGCCUAAGUCCUUGGAAAGGGAAUGAACCAGGAAUGUAGGAGAGAAAUCACAUGGGGGGCCCAUGUGUGUAUGCAGAAGGGCUCAUGGUGGAAUCCUCAUCCCAGCCUUGUGCAGAGGGAAAAGCGCCAUGGCAGAGACAUGAGGACUCUAAAUCUUUCGCUAGCUGGGUCGCUCAGCUCUUCUAUUCACAUUCUAUUGGCCAAAGCCAAGCACACGGACAAGCCUGGGGUCAAUGAAGUGGGGAAGUACACUCCUCCCAUGGGAGAUACAGCAUAUGGCAAUGAUCAGGGAGCCAUAUUGCCCCAGUGGGGAAGGGAGGAAGUUGUUGGGCCAAAUCGUAUGCUCUACCACAACCACUAAACAGCUGUAAAACCUCGGUGGUUUACUCAACUUUUCCCUGCCUUGGUCACCUCAUCAGUAAAACAGGAAUUCUGCUCCUGAUGAUGUCAUUUCUGGUCAGUGCCCACGCUGUGCCCCGACUGCCUCAAGGCCGAAUCCUGGCCUGGUCUCCUCUCUGGGCUCCCUCCCUCCCCACUCUGUAGCCAGUUCUCUUUUGUCUGUGGCUAACAUCUUGGUGAGACCAAUCUUUUUAAAGUAAAAAGACAUAGGAUUGAGGACAUUUCUUCUUUUUUAUUUUUUAUUACUAUUUGUGGGUACUGUUCUAUUCUGAGACCACAAAACCUCCAAAUUCUGAACUUU